AAUCCGUUGUAAAUGGCGUACGGGUGAGUAACACGUGGAUCAUCUGCCCUAGAGUGGGAAUAACGAGGGAAACCUUCGCUAAUACCGCAUAAUCCCGAGAGGGAAAGCCGAAAGGCGCUCAAGGAGGAGUCCGCGGUCGAUUAGCUAGUUGGUAGGGUAAUGGCCUACCAAGGCUACGAUCGAUAGCCGGCCUGAGAGGGCACACGGCCACACUGGCACUGAAACACGGGCCAG
rnacentral:rRNA from 1 species